GGCCCUUUGAUUAUAAUUUAGGGUCUAACCUGCCCACUGAGGAAUUAAAGGGCCGCGGUAUUUUGACCGUGCAAAGGUAGCAUAAUCAUUAGUUUUUUAAUUGAAAGCUAGAAUGAAUGGUUGAAUGAGAAAAUGACUGUCUCAAAUUAAAUUGAUAUGAAUUUUAUUUUUAAGUAAAAAAGCUUAAAUUUUUUUGAAAGACGAGAAGACCCUAUAGAGUUUUAUAUUAAGAAUUAGAUUUUGAAAAUUUAGUAAUUUUUUUUUAAAAUUUAGUUUAGGUAUUUGAUUGGGGUGAUUGAAAAAUUUAAAUAACUUUUUUUUUAUAAAACCAUAAAUUUAUGAAUAAUUGAUCCAUAGUAUUAUGAUUAAAAGAUUAAAUUACCUUAGGGAUAACAGCGUAAUUUUAUUAGAGAGUUCUAAUCGAUAAUAAAGAUUGCGACCUCGAUGUUGGAUUAAAAUUAAUUUUUGGUGCAGAAGCUAAGAAUUUUAGGUCUGUUCGACCUUUAAAAUUUUACAUGA
rnacentral:rRNA from 1 species